GAUGAAGAACGUAGCGAAAUGCGAUAAGUAAUGCGAAUUGCAGAAUUUCCGUGAGUCAUCGAAUCUUUGAACGCACAUUGCGCCCACUGGUAUUCCGGUGGGCAUGCCUGUUCGAGCGUCAUUAUCCUCCCUCAAACCCCGGGUUUGGUGUUGGACCCAAGUUGUGUGAACAACUGGUCUCAAAGACAAUGACGGCGUCCGCGGGACCCUCGGUGCAACGAGCUUUUAGGAGCACGCAUCGAGUUGCAAGGACCUUCCGGGCCGGUCUCCUUUACCAUUUUACAAGGUUGACCUCGGAUCAGGUAGGAAUACCCGCUGAACUUAAGCAUAUCAAUAAGCGGAGGA
rnacentral:misc_RNA from 1 species